CUGGUUGUAUAAAACUCCUCUCUUCAACUAACAAAAUACCUUCAAAAGAUGGGCUUUAUUUUUUUUAAAAAAAGGUGUCAAUACCACCUCAUGGCUAAAUGGACUUUCUUAUCUGGUCUGUGAAAUAAACUUAAAACCUUUUAGCAUUUAUUCAUCCUAGCUGUAAUCCAAAAAGUGCUACCUUGUUUCUUUAACAUGUGGGACUCAUCUCUUUUUGAAUGACCCACUGGUCUACAGAAAAUGCAUGCUGAGGUGCAGAUGUGCAGUGUCACACAGACUUAAUGGGAUGCAAAGGGAACAAAUAAAAAGGCAUGGAAGAGGAAUGUCUCCUCACCUCAAAUUCUACCAACUGCAGAAGUAAGACAUCUGUAAUCCAUGGUUCCCACAAGAUAUGUGGAUUUCAGGGAUCUGCCACAGAUACUUCAAGGCCUAUAAAAGUCUGCUCUAAUUUGGCAUAGCCAUAACCAAGCUACAUUAAAAUGACUGCCACUGCUACGAGAGAAAGAGAGAGGAACGUUA